rnacentral:rRNA from 1 species
GUGGGGAAUCUUCCACAAUGGACGAAAGUCUGAUGGAGCAACGCCGCGUGAGUGAAAAAGGGUUUCGGCUCGUAAAGCUCUGUUGUCGGGGACGAAUGUGCAGUAUUUGAAUAAAGUACUGCAAUGACGGUACCUGACGAGGAAGCCACGGCUAACUACGUGCCAGCAGCCGCGGUAAUACGUAGGUGGCAAGCGUUGUCCGGAAUUAUUGGGCGUAAAGGGAGCGCAGGCGGGAAGGUAAGUCGGUCUUAAAAGUGCGGGGCUCAACCCCGUGAUGGGAUCGAAACUAUCUUUCUUGAGUGCAGGAGAGGAAAGUGGAAUUCCUAGUGUAGCGGUGAAAUGCGUAGAUAUUAGGAGGAACACCAGUGGCGAAGGCGACUUUCUGGACUGUAACUGACGCUGAGGCUCGAAAGCCAGGGGAGCGAACGGGAUUAGAUACCCCAGUAGUCC